rnacentral:rRNA from 1 species
AGAGUUUGAUCAUGGCUCAGGACGAACGCUGGCGGCGCGCUUAACACAUGCAAGUCGAGCGAGAACCCAGGCUUCGGCCUGGGGGAAAGCGGCGAACGGGUGAGUAACACGUGAGUAAUCUGCCCUCGACAUCGGGAUAGCCCGGGGAAACCCGGAUUAAUACCGAAUGGCCCAUCAGCUUCUCGAAGCGGAUGGAAAAGGUAGCUUCGGCCUCCGGUCGAGGAGGAGCUCGCGGCGGAUUAGCUUGUUGGUGAGGUAACGGCUCACCAAGGCUCCGAUCCGUAGCUGGUCUGAGAGGACGAUCAGCCACACUGGGACUGAGACACGGCCCAGACUCCUACGGGAGGCAGCAGUGGGGAAUCUUGCGCAAUGGGCGAAAGCCUGACGCAGCGACGCCGCGUGAGGGAAGAAGGCCUUCGGGUUGUAAACCUCUUUCAGGAGGGACGAAGCCACUCGGGUUAAUAGCCCAGAGGGUGACGGUACCUCCAGAAGAAGCCCGGCUAACUACGUGCCAGCAGCCGCGGUA